GACGUAGGGCGCGAGCGUUGUCCGGAUUUAUUGGGCGUAAAGAGCUCGUAGGCGGCUUGUCGCGUCGGCCGUGAAAACUUGGGGCUCAACCCCAAGCUUGCGGUCGAUACGGGCAGGCUAGAGUUCGGUAGGGGAGACUGGAAUUCCUGGUGUAGCGGUGAAAUGCGCAGAUAUCAGGAGGAACACCAAUGGCGAAGGCAGCACUCUGGGACGUGACUGACGCUGAGACGCGAAAGCGUGGGGAGCAAACAGG
rnacentral:rRNA from 1 species